CAGUUUGGCUCAGUGGAUAGAGCGUCGGCUUGCAGACUGAAGAUCCCAGGUUCCAUUCCUGGCAAGUUGG
rnacentral:tRNA from 1 species